AAGGAAACAAAAGGAAAGAGACACUGGGAGAAAGAAAAAGAUAUGUGAGAAUGAAAAUAGAGAGGGAAGAAGAGAAAAGGAAAGGGGUAGAAGAAAGAGAAGGGAAGGCAUGAUUACAAAGAUUAGUUUUGGAGAAUUAGAUUUGGGAUUCAAAGAAGGCAAGCAUAGAAGCAGAUUAAGAUGAUAAGAAACUUGGUUUUCUUAAGGAACAUGUAUCUAUACAAUAGCUUGAAAUCCAGUCUUGCAGGUUAUUAAACACAAGAACUAUGAAGAUUAGUGAUCGAAAGCAAUUAGAAUUAGUUGGAGUUUUGUAUAUGUAAGAUCAUUAUUCAGGAAGUGAGUACUCUUAGUGAUCUUGAGUUGGAUUUAUCCUUAUACCGAAAUGAUAAGUCAAUUCCAUUAUCAAAGUGUCGAUUUUAUUUUUUUUCUAUUAGUUUAUUUUUAUUUUUACUCACACCUCGGAUUUCGGGAAAUAUUU